GCGACGUCUCUGUCCAACAUGGAGUGCGGAGGGGAGCGGGGGGGAAAAAAGGCAGCGCCACCCUAAAAACUUGACUACAGUACGCUCAAUUUGAUGAAGUCUGACUCCCCGGUUGCACACACGAUGGAAGCCCGGCUUUAAACGGCACGUUUGGUUCCGGGACUCACGCACGCAGGUCGCCUUUUAGACUGUCGCUCAUCUUUUUUUUUUUUUUUUUUAAUUGUAGUGCAGCAACGCGAACCGGCGACAUGCAAAAGUGCCACAACUAUUUAACAACAGCAACGCCCGCACAAAAGAAGACCAUUAGUCGCCGAGGAGGGCCACAGCAGUAAUUCUCGGGAAUUAUUAAGUGGAACCGUGACCGCCCUCGGUUAGCUUUGGGUUUUGUUUUUUGGGUGAAAGGUCACACCGCUGAGUGUGUUUACUUGAGAAUGCGCAAUGCAGCGAGUGUGUUGGCCUCUCUGGGCUCCAUGUUCCUGCUGCGUCUCUUCGGGGUGUCCUGGACCUGGAGUGUGUUGGCCGGACUCGGGGUGUACUUGGGGACCAGCAGCUGGAAGUAUUUCUACGUGGCGGCGCGGACCGUCAAGAGAGAUUUGACGGGCCUGUGCGUGCUGCUGAGAGUCAAGCUGGCCCUGUGGCGCUACAUGCGCGACGGCAGCAACAUCCUCACCAUGUUUGCCCAGACGGUGAAACGCAACCCCAACAAGGUUGCGCUGAUCUACGAGGCCACGGGGGAAGCGUGGACGUUCACCCAGCUGGACCAAAUGUCCAACUCGGUGGCCAACUGGGCAAGGAGUCAGGGCUGGAUCACUGGAGACGUGGUGGCGCUCUUCAUGGAAAGCCGACCGUUGCAGGUGGCGCUCUGGCUGGGCUUGGCCAAGGUCGGCGUGGAAGCGGCGCUCAUCAACUUCAACCUCCGCAAGGACUCCCUCCUGCACUGCGUCGGGGUGUCUCGGUCUCGGGCCAUUGUUUUUGGAGCUGAGCUUACUGAUGCCGUGCUCGAGGUCAGCGCCUCCCUCAGUCAGACCAUGUUGCGGUUUUGUACCGGAGACCUCAGCACUCAACACGGGGCCCAUCUGGGUGCAACGCUCCUGGAUCCGAUCUUAGCGUCUGCGUCGAGGGACUCCCCUUUACCUUGUGUGAAACAUAAAGGCAUGAACGACUGUUUGUUUUACAUCUAUACCUCGGGCACCACGGGACUACCCAAGGCUGCUAUUGUCGUGCAUAGUAGGUACUACAGAAUCACUGCUUUCGGCUACUAUGCUUUCCGCAUGCGCCCGGAUGACGUCAUCUACGACUGUCUUCCUCUUUAUCACUCUGCAGGUAACAUCAUGGGAGUCGGCCAGAGUCUAAUCCACGGUGUCACUGUCGUCGUCAAGAAGAAAUUCUCCGCCAGUCGCUUCUGGGAUGAUUGUAUCAAGUACAACUGCACUGUGGUGCAGUAUAUCGGCGAAAUCUGCCGCUACCUUCUGUCCCAGCCAGUGCGGCCGUCAGAAAAGGCCCACAAGGUUCGCCUGGCCAUCGGAAACGGUCUCCGUCCCAGCGUGUGGGAAGCCUUCACCCAGCGUUUCGGGGUGGCGCAGAUCGGCGAGUUCUACGGAGCGACCGAGUGUAACUGCAGCAUUGCCAACUUGGACGGCAAGGUGGGUGCCUGUGGAUUCAACAGUCGGAUUCUGCCCAACCUUUACCCCAUCCGUCUGGUCAAAGUGGACGAGGACACGAUGGAGUUGGUUCGCGAUAGCCGAGGCCUCUGCGUGCCAUGUCAACCUGGUGAGCCGGGGCUCCUGGUGGGCCGCAUCAACCAAAAGGACCCGCUGAGGCGCUUUGACGGCUACGUCAACCACGAAGCCACGAGCAAGAAAAUAGCCCAAAAUGUUUUCAAGAAAAACGACUCGGCGUAUUUGUCAGGCGACGUCUUGGUGAUGGAUGACUUGGGCUACAUGUAUUUCCGCGACCGCAGCGGCGACACGUUCCGCUGGCGGGGGGAGAACGUGUCGACCACGGAAGUGGAAGGCAUCCUGAGCAGCCUCUUGGAUCAGACCGACGUGGCCGUGUACGGCGUGACGGUGCCAGGUGUUGAAGGGAAGGCGGGCAUGGCCGCCAUCGCGGAAAAAAACGGCACUUUCGACUGCGACGCCUUCCUACAGAAGAUCCAGGCCGCUCUCCCGCCGUACGCUCGGCCAGUGUUCCUACGACUGUCGCCGAGCGUCGACACCACAGGAACCUUCAAAAUCCAGAAAACCAGGCUGCAGAGGGAGGGCUACGACCCGCGCCUCACAAGCGACCGGAUCUACUUUUUAAACGUCAAAGUCGGCCGCUACGUCGCCAUGGACGACAAGCUCUACUUUGCCAUAAUGGAGGCCCGAGUCCAUUUAUGACGUGGAAAUCCGGAAUUUGAAACCUUCAGGGAGCGGAGUUGACACGACUCCUCGCCGAGGCAGCGCUCUUACAGACUUGGUACUUGAGGGUGCCAGUAUGCUUGGCCACGUCAAUCAGAGCGCCGGACAUCUCUUCGGGCUCGAAAGAAUUGAUCCAGGUUCUGAAAACAGGUGCUGGUGAUUAGCCAAAGUCAUCUCCCGUUGGCUUCACAACUGGAACUGAAGUGUUGACGCGGAUCACGUUGGAGAGCGAGGCCACCUCUUGGUCCAGCUCCUCGAUCCUCUCCCGGAUCAUCAGGUUCUUGUGACCCUCCUCAGCCUUCAGCGAGGACAGCCUGGCCUCCUCCUGCUCCCUCAGGAAGAGGUGCAGCGCCUCGAAUUCCGUCUUGAUCUGCCUCUCCGUCUGCUCGCCCUGACUCUGCGCACGAGAAGAGAUGUGCCUCGAUACUGCGAGUCGAGCUUACUUUACAGUCCUGGGCCCCCUCGCCAAGGGGGUAGAGCCGAUGCCCUCGGUGGUCCGCCGCCUUCCCGCACGCCCCGCAGAUGGGCUCCAGGUCCUCCAAGCAGAAGAGCGUGAGCUUCUCCCC